rnacentral:rRNA from 1 species
UACGUAGGUGGCAAGCGUUAUCCGGAAUUAUUGGGCGUAAAGCGCGCGCAGGCGGUUUCUUAAGUCUGAUGUGAAAGCCCACGGCUCAACCGUGGAGGGUCAUUGGAAACUGGGGAACUUGAGUGCAGAAGAGAAAAGCGGAAUUCCACGUGUAGCGGUGAAAUGCGUAGAGAUGUGGAGGAACACCAGUGGCGAAGGCGGCUUUUUGGUCUGUAACUGACGCUGAGGCGCGAAAGCGUGGGGAGCGAUCCGG